rnacentral:misc_RNA from 1 species
UCCGAGUUGACCCCGGCAGUCUCCUGCGAGUCCCCGCCAUUACGCGCUGGCAACACAGGACAAGGGUUGCGCUCGUUGCGGGACUUAACCCAACAUCUCACGACACGAGCUGACGACAGCCAUGCACCACCUGUAUACCGACCACAAGGGGGGCCGUAUCUCUACGGCUUUCCGGUAUAUGUCAAACCCAGGUAAGGUGGGAUGACGUCAGUGCUUGCCU